rnacentral:rRNA from 1 species
GACGAACGCUGGCGGCGUGCUUAACACAUGCAAGUCGAACGGAAAGGCCCUUCUGUUGUGGUGUGCUCGAAUGGCGAACGGGUGAGUAACAAGUGAGUAACCUGCCCUUGACUUUGGGAUAACUUCAGGAAACUGGGGCUAAUACCGGAUAGGAGCUCCUGCUGCCUGGUGGGGGUUGGAAAGUUUCGGCGGUUGGGGAUUGACUCGCGGCUGAUCAGCUUGUGUGGGGGUAGUGGCUUACCAAGGCUUUGACGGGUAAUCGGCCUGAUAGGGUGACCGGCCAUAUUGGGACUGAGAUACGGCCCAGACUCAUACGGGAGGCAGAAGUGGGGAAUAUUGCACAAUGGGAGGAAGCCUGACGAAGCAACGCCGUGUGCGGGAUGACGGCCUUCGGGUUGUAAACCGCUUUCGCCUGUGACGAAGCGUGAGUGACGGUAAUGGGUAAAGAAGCACGGGCUAACUACGUG